rnacentral:rRNA from 1 species
GACGAACGCUGGCGGCGCGCUUAACACAUGCAAGUCGAACGGAAAGGCCUGCUUUCCCUUGUGGAUUGCGGGUACUCGAGUGGCUAACGGGUGAGUAACACGUGAGUGAUCUGCCCCCAACUUGGGUAUAAGCCUGGGAAACUGUGUCUAAUUCUCGAUAGGACUGCAGGGUGGUGCCUUUGGUGGAAAACGAUUUUCUAGUUGUUGGGGAUGCGCUGGCGGCCUAUCUGCUUGUUGGUGGGGCAAUGGCCUACCAAGGCGGCGACGGGUAGCCGGACUGGGAGGGUGGACGGCCAAAUUGGGACUGGGAUACGGCCCAGACUCGUACGGGAGGCAGCAGUGGGGAAGAUUGGACCAUGGGCGGAAGGCUGAUGCAGCGACGCCGCGUGGAGGAUGACGGGAUUCGGGUUGUAAACUCCUUGCGACCGCGAGAAAGGCAACUGGCUGGAAGGGUGGUGACGGUAGUGGUAGAAGAAGCAACGGCUAACUACGUG